AGAGUUUGAUCCUGGCUCAGAUUGAACGCUGGCGGCAUGCUUUACACAUGCAAGUCGAACGGUAACAGGGGAGCUUGCUCCCGCUGACGAGUGGCGAACGGGUGAGUAAUGCAUCGGAACGUACCGAGUAAUGGGGGAUAACUAUCCGAAAGGAUGGCUAAUACUGCAUACGAUCUUAGGAUGAAAGUGGGGGACCUUCGGGCCUCACGUUAUUCGAGCGGCCGAUGCCUGAUUAGCUAGUUGGUAGGGUAAAAGCCUACCAAGGCUACGAUCAGUAGCGGGUCUGAGAGGAUGAUCCGCCACACUGGGACUGAGACACGGCCCAGACUCCUACGGGAGGCAGCAGUGGGGAAUUUUGGACAAUGGGGGCAACCCUGAUCCAGCCAUGCCGCGUGUCUGAAGAAGGCCUUCGGGUUGUAAAGGACUUUUGUUAGGGAGGAAAAUUUAUCCAUUAAUACUGGGUAAAGCUGACAGUACCUAAAGAAUAAGCACCGGCUAACUACGUGCCAGCAGCCGCGGUAAUACGUAGGGUGCAAGCGUUAAUCGGAAUUACUGGGCGUAAAGCGAGCGCA
rnacentral:rRNA from 1 species